GCGUGGUCUCCUUCUGCUCGUCUCUCCCUCUGUGCCUCCCGUCUCAUCCCACUUCCCCCGCCUGCAUCUCCUCGCCUCGCCCUCAUCCGCUCGCCCGCCAUUGUCGCUCCUUGUCGCUCGCCGUUCUCGGUCCUCGCCUGCUCGUCUCGCCCUCCUCCGCUUGUUUCCGUCAUGGCCCCUCGCACUGCUGCUAUUGCGUUUGGCUAGGGGCUGCUGCGUCUGGUUUGCUCUCCGCUUGUGCGUCUAUUUAAUCCUCCUCUGUGAGGUCCUCCUUUCCGACGUCUUCCUGCCCGAUCAACUGAUCUCCUCGCUCCUGGUUCGUGGAAGGCCUGCUGCAGUUUGGUUCACCUCACGCCCCGUGCCUUGUCUUUCAUCUUGCCAAGCAUUAUGCUGUCCUUUCUCCCGUGGCCGUAGUUCCUUUGCUUGCGGUAUGCCUCCGCGCCGACCUGUUCCUGCGUGAUCUCCUGGUCCUUUGGGGCGUGCUUCCAUUUGGGUCGUGCCGUUGCCCCACGCCGGGCUGCUCGUGCUGUCCAUGCUUUGCCUACUGUCCCUGUCGGACCUGCUAUUCCCCUUGUUCGGAAGAGGAAGCGGCAAACACUCCUGCAAAGGGAGCUGGCACUCCAAAGAAAGCGAGGCAGUAGUUCCUCCAUGGAUUAAGCUACAUAUGUACAUACGGGUAUCUUCUGUGUUCUUCUUGCUUAUCAAGCGAAGUCCGCCGCUGGAAGGGUGUGUUUCUGAACACAGCUUCUAACCUCUGCUGCAUCUCAUCAACUGUCUGUCCAUCGGGACUGAAGAUCAUCAAUUCAGCACACUUUUGGGCACGCACUGGGUUUAUUUUGUGCACCUUUGUAAGGCAAGGCUUUGACACCUGAAGAACUAUGUCGAGCCACUGUCAUGACAAUUCCUCUAUUUAGGUCCUCGAACAGAUUAGGUUCCAUGCGUUGUAAAUAUCUUCGCGGGCCUUUUCUACCUUAUCUCCUUAUAAAACUUUCUACUCAUUGUAAAUGCCGCUGGGCCAUGCUACUUAAUCUAAGUCUUCUUGUUGUUAUAAUGUGCACACCUUCUUAUGUUUUA